UACAGAGGGUGCAAGCGUUAUUCGGAUUUAUUGGGCGUAAAGCGCAUGUAGGUGGUUCGUUAAGUCUGAUGUGAAAUCCCUGGACUCAAUUCAGGAAGUGCAUUGGAUACUGGCGGACUAGAGUGCAGGAGAGGAAGGCGGAAUUCCAGGAGUAGAGGUGAAAAUUCGUAGAUAUCUGGAGGAACAACAGUGGCGAAGGCGGCCUUCUGGACUGUAACUGACACUAAGAUGCGAAAGCGUGGGGAGCAAACAGG
rnacentral:rRNA from 1 species